AAAAAAGGCAAACCUAGGUUUCCGUGUCCAACUUUAACUGUUCGUCUUAUAUGAAAUUUUUUUAUAAUUCGUAUUUUUAUUGUUGUUAGAUGAUAAAACAUGAUUAAUAUUUUAUGCGUGACUUGUCUUUUUAAUUUUUUUAUAAUUUUUUUAAAUAAGACGGACGGUCAAAUAUUGGGCACAGAAAUCAGGGUUUGUCUUUUU
rfam:Oryza barthii chromosome 7, whole genome shotgun sequence.